rnacentral:rRNA from 1 species
CUAAGCACGAAACUUGCCCCGAGAUGAGUUCUCCCUGAGACUUUAAGUCUCCUGAAGGAACGUUGAAGACGACGACGUUGAUAGGCCGGGUGUGUAAGCGCAGCGAUGCGUUGAGCUAACCGGUACUAAUGAACCGUGAGGCUUAACCUUACAACGCCGAAG